GCUGGGGCCUGAGAGAGGAGCGCCUGGUGUGCGGGAGGAAACAUGAGAGCUGCCUUGGGCCAACGGGUCUGCGAUCCGCUUUCCAUGGAGCAUCU
rnacentral:lncRNA from 12 species